GACGAACGCUGGCGGCGUGCUUAACACAUGCAAGUCGAACGGUAAGGCUCCAGCUUGCUGGGGUACACGAGUGGCGAACGGGUGAGUAACACGUGGGUGACCUGCCCUGCACUUCGGGAUAAGCCUGGGAAACUGGGUCUAAUACCGGAUAGGACCAUGGUGUGGAUACUGUGGUGGAAAGUUUUUUCGGUGUGGGAUGGGCCCGCGGCCUAUCAGCUUGUUGGUGGGGUAAUGGCCUACCAAGGCGGCGACGGGUAGCCGGCCUGAGAGGGUGGACGGCCACAUUGGGACUGAGAGACGGCGCAGACUCCUACGGGAGGCAGCAGUGGGGAAUAUUGCACAAUGGGCGGAAGCCUGAUGCAGCGACGCCGCGUGGGGGAUGACGGCCUUCGGGUUGUAAACUCCUUUCACCAUCGACGAAGGGUUUCUGACGGUAGAUGGAGAAGAAGCACCGGCUAACUACGUG
rnacentral:rRNA from 1 species